rnacentral:rRNA from 1 species
AUUGAACGCUGGCGGCAGGCUUAACACAUGCAAGUCGAGCGAGCGGCGGACGGGUGAGUAAUGUCUGGGAAACUGCCUGAUGGAGGGGGAUAACUACUGGAAACGGUAGCUAAUACCGCAUACCAUCAGAUGUGCCCAGAUGGGAUUAGCUAGUAGGUGGGGUAAUGGUUAACCUAGGCGACGAUCCCUAGCUGGUCUGAAAGAAUGAACGGCAACACUGGAACUGAGACACGGUGCAGACUCCUACGGGAGGCAGCAGUGGGUAAUAUUGCACAAGGGGCGCAAGCGUGAAGCAGCCAUGCCGCGUGUAUGAAGAAAGCCUGCGGGUUGUAAAGUACUUUCAGCGGGGAGGCGUUACCCGCAGAAGAAGCACCGGCUAACUCCGUGCCAGCAGCCGCGGUAAUU